UACGUAGGGUCCGAGCGUUGUCCGGAUUUAUUGGGCGUAAAGGGCUCGUAGGCGGUUUGUCGCGUCGGGAGUGAAAAUCCAGGGCUUAACUCUGGACUGGCUUUCGAUACGGGCAGACUAGAGGUAUGCAGGGGAGAACGGAAUUCCUGGUGUAGCGGUGAAAUGCGCAGAUAUCAGGAGGAACACCGGUGGCGAAGGCGGUUCUCUGGGCAUUACCUGACGCUGAGGAGCGAAAGUGUGGGGAGCGAACAGG
rnacentral:rRNA from 1 species